rnacentral:rRNA from 1 species
GGUUAAGCGACUAAGCGUACACGGUGGAUGCCCUGGCAGUCAGAGGCGAUGAAGGACGUGCUAAUCUGCGAAAAGCGCCGGCGAGGUGAUAUGAACCCUUGACCCGGCGAUGUCCGAAUGGGGAAACCCAGUGCAAUUCGUUGCACUAUCGUUAACUGAAUACAUAGGUUAACGAGGCGAACCGGGGGAACUGAAACAUCUAAGUACCCCGAGGAAAAGAAAUCAACCGAGAUUCCCCCAGUAGCGGCGAGCGAACGGGGAGCAGCCCAGAGUCUGAAUCAGCUUGUGUGUUAGUGGAAGCGUCUGGAAAGUCGCACGGUACAGGGUGACAGUCCCGUACACGAAAAUGCACAGGUUGUGAACUCGAAGAGUAGGGCGGGACACGUGGUAUCCUGUCUGAAUAUGGGGGGACCAUCCUCCAAGGCUAAAUACUCCUGACUGACCGAUAGUGAACCAGUACCGUGAGGGAAAGGCGAAAAGAACCCCGGCGAGGGGAGUGAAAAAGAACCUGAAACCGUGUACGUACAAGCAGUGGGAGCACCUUCGGGUGUGACUGCGUACCUUUUGUAUAAUGGGUCAGCGACUUAUAUUCUGUAGCAAGGUUAACCGUAUAGGGGAGCCGAAGGGAAACCGAGUCUUAACUGGGCGUUAAGUUGCAGGGUAUAGACCCGAAACCCGGUGAUCUAGCCAUGGGCAGGUUGAAGGUUGGGUAACACUAACUGGAGGACCGAACCGACUAAUGUUGAAAAAUUAGCGGAUGACUUGUGGCUGGGGGUGAAAGGCCAAUCAAACCGGGAGAUAGCUGGUUCUCCCCGAAAGCUAUUUAGGUAGCGCCUCGUGAAUUCAUCUUCGGGGGUAGAGCACUGUUUCGGCUAGGGGGCCAUCCCGGCUUACCAACCCGAUGCAAACUACGAAUACCGAAGAAUGUUAUCACGGGAGACACACGGCGGGUGCUAACGUCCGUCGUGAAGAGGGAAACAACCCAGACCGCCAGCUAAGGUCCCAAAGUCAUGGUUAAGUGGGAAACGAUGUGGGAAGGCCCAGACAGCCAGGAUGUUGGCUUAGAAGCAGCCAUCAUUUAAAGAAAGCGUAAUAGCUCACUGGUCGAGUCGGCCUGCGCGGAAGAUGUAACGGGGCUAAACCAUGCACCGAAGCUGCGGCAGCGACACUAUGUGUUGUUGGGUAGGGGAGCGUUCUGUAAGCCGUUGAAGGUGGCCUGUGAGGGUUGCUGGAGGUAUCAGAAGUGCGAAUGCUGACAUAAGUAACGAUAAAGCGGGUGAAAAGCCCGCUCGCCGGAAGACCAAGGGUUCCUGUCCAACGUUAAUCGGGGCAGGGUGAGUCGACCCCUAAGGCGAGGCCGAAAGGCGUAGUCGAUGGGAAACAGGUUAAUAUUCCUGUACUUGGUGUUACUGCGAAGGGGGGACGGAGAAGGCUAUGUUAGCCGGGCGACGGUUGUCCCGGUUUAAGCAUGUAGGCGGAGGUUCCAGGUAAAUCCGGUACCUUUUUAACGCUGAGGUGUGAUGACGAGGCACUACGGUGCUGAAGUAACAAAUGCCCUGCUUCCAGGAAAAGCCUCUAAGCAUCAGGUAACACGAAAUCGUACCCCAAACCGACACAGGUGGUCAGGUAGAGAAUACCAAGGCGCUUGAGAGAACUCGGGUGAAGGAACUAGGCAAAAUGGUGCCGUAACUUCGGGAGAAGGCACGCUGAUAUGUAGGUGAAGCCCCUGCGGGUGGAGCUGAAAUCAGUCGAAGAUACCAGCUGGCUGCAACUGUUUAUUAAAAACACAGCACUGUGCAAACACGAAAGUGGACGUAUACGGUGUGACGCCUGCCCGGUGCCGGAAGGUUAAUUGAUGGGGUUAGCGGUAACGCGAAGCUCUUGAUCGAAGCCCCGGUAAACGGCGGCCGUAACUAUAACGGUCCUAAGGUAGCGAAAUUCCUUGUCGGGUAAGUUCCGACCUGCACGAAUGGCGUAAUGAUGGCCAGGCUGUCUCCACCCGAGACUCAGUGAAAUUGAACUCGCUGUGAAGAUGCAGUGUACCCGCGGCAAGACGGAAAGACCCCGUGAACCUUUACUAUAGCUUGACACUGAACACUGGUCCUUGAUGUGUAGGAUAGGUGGGAGGCUUUGAAGCGUGGACGCCAGUCUGCGUGGAGCCAACCUUGAAAUACCACCCUUUAAUGGCUGGUGUUCUAACGUAGACCCGUAAUCCGGGUUGCGGACAGUGUCUGGUGGGUAGUUUGACUGGGGCGGUCUCCUCCCAAAGAGUAACGGAGGAGCACGAAGGUUAGCUAAUCCUGGUCGGACAUCAGGAGGUUAGUGCAAUGGCAUAAGCUAGCUUGACUGCGAGAGUGACGGCUCGAGCAGGUGCGAAAGCAGGUCAUAGUGAUCCGGUGGUUCUGAAUGGAAGGGCCAUCGCUCAACGGAUAAAAGGUACUCCGGGGAUAACAGGCUGAUACCGCCCAAGAGUUCAUAUCGACGGCGGUGUUUGGCACCUCGAUGUCGGCUCAUCACAUCCUGGGGCUGAAGUAGGUCCCAAGGGUAUGGCUGUUCGCCAUUUAAAGUGGUACGCGAGCUGGGUUUAGAACGUCGUGAGACAGUUCGGUCCCUAUCUGCCGUGGGCGCUGGAGAAUUGAGGGGGGCUGCUCCUAGUACGAGAGGACCGGAGUGGACGCAUCACUGGUGUUCGGGUUGUCAUGCCAAUGGCACUGCCCGGUAGCUAAAUGCGGAAGAGAUAAGUGCUGAAAGCAUCUAAGCACGAAACUUGCCCCGAGAUGAGUUCUCCCUGAGACUUAAAGUCUCCUGAAGGAACGUUGAAGACGACGACGUUGAUAGGUCGGGUGUGUAAGCGCAGCGAUGCGUUGAGCUAACCGAUACUAAUGAACCGUGAGGCUUAACCUU